rnacentral:rRNA from 1 species
UACGUAGGGUGCGAGCGUUAAUCGGAAUUACUGGGCGUAAAGCGUGCGUAGGCGGUUUUGUAAGUCUGUCGUGAAAUCCCCGGGCUCAACCUGGGAAUUGCGCUUGUGACUGCAAGGCUAGAGUGUGUCAGAGGGGGGUAGAAUUCCACGUGUAGCAGUGAAAUGCGUAGAGAUGUGGAGGAAUACCGAUGGCGAAGGCAGCCCCCUGGGACAUGACUGACGCUCAUGCACGAAAGCGUGGGGAGCAAACGAGGAU